AAAAAAAAAAAAAACUCGAAAAAUUGUCGCUGUGAGAGUUUCGUUGGCUAUGAUUGAGUGCUCCUAUGGCGCCCUCCAAGCUCGCCAUUCCCUCGAUUUUUCUUGCCCUAAUUUUCUCCCAGAUUCGGGCUCAAGCUCCAGGACUUGGAUCAGGGUCAGCCGUAUUGCCCGACUCGUUCACUUCGGAUGGGGCGCCCUCCCCAGAUAAACUCAUUAAUUCGGUGGCUGGUGUAUCCAAUAUCGGUGAGAAGACUACGGAACACGAGAAGAAUACGCCGAGUAAAAAUGGAGUCUCUCCAGGUAAGGCAUAUUUGUUAACUACAUUGCAAAGAUAAAGGAUUUGUACAGAGGAGGAGAAAGAAGACAGAGAGAAGCAAGAGAGAUGCUAGAGAGAGAAUUUAGAGAGAGUAAUAGGAUUUGUAUUAACUAAAGAAUGAAGAUUACACACUUUGUUUUUAUACUAGUAAGCCUAACAACUCUAACCAAAUACUAACAAACUUUCUAACUAUAUUUCUAACUUGCACCCUUAAUAAUAUUUGCAUGGAAAUUCAGGGAUGUAGCUUCAAACAACUUUUACUAAAUUCACGUGACUCCUUACCAACCACAAAUUAUCAUGAAAAUUCAUUUCUCUGACUGAAAUUCAAAACCCAAUUCAUAAUACCUCUCAAAAUUCACAUAAACGUCUCAAAAUUCAUUUCUCAGAGCAAUUUGAAACUGAAAAUCGCUGAGGGGGAAGAAGAGACUGAUAGGUACUUUCGUCGAAACGACGAGAUUUACCACUCUGUGUGCGAUUCUUUCAAGGAAGGAUCCAUAAAUUAUGUGCUUUCUCAUAACUCAAUUUGAAUAACUCUCAAAUAACUCAAAAGAAAUCCUUGUUAGGUAUUAAAUUUAUUGAGUGGUCUCUAACCCUUUUUUGUCUGUCUUCUUUAGAAUCUAUUUUGAUUCUUUAAAUACGAUCUGGUUGUUGAGACAAUUGAAAACGGUAUGUCCUUAUUACAGGAUCUUUAUCUUUGCUUUGAAUUAUUGGAUUUAGACAUUACACGAUGCGACUUAGAAUCUUCCGCUACGGCCGGUGACUGUUUAGAUUGUGAGCUCGCCCAAUUGGAAAAAAACAAAUAUUUAUUUUGUAGUUUAUGAUGAAAUUAUAUAUAUUUUAAGUAUAAAUAAACAUUUAUUUACCUGAAAUAUAAUAAAUUUAGUUAAAUUCACUAAGUCCGCUUAGACACUAGGUUCUACUUGGCCAUUCUAUUAGCGAUUAGCGUCUUUUAGAAUUUCAGAAAUAAAAAUCCGCGGGAAAAUAAAUUGAGGUUACGCGUCGCUAGGUGAUUGGGGAGUGCAGUGUGCGGGUGAGGUUAGCGUGGUCGAAAUCCAAUUAAUCGGGAGUCGCGCUCAAUAAUAGGACAUUAUCCGCCGGGGUUGGUGUUGAAUUUUCAAUUGGUCCUACUCAACUCGGAAUACGGCUGACACACUAUACAAUAUCAUUAAAUAUAAGUUGGGUUUUUUUUAAUUAUAAAUGAUUUUUUAAAUGGGGCUUUUAGAUUCGGUUCAAAAACACAGAGUGUUUUUAGGAGUGACUCCAGUUAUCUAAUUAUAUGUUUUUAUUUCUUUUAUACUCCUUUUAUAUUUUCUAAAAAUAUUAAAAAUCAAUUAAAAUCUUUUAAUAUUAUGCA